GGACGUCAUGAUGGAGAAUCAGCCGCCCAUCACAUCACCGGAUGGAUCCAGUAAUGGGAACCCUCCAGAGAGAUGUCCUCAUCCUUUGAAUUCCACACAGGAAGGUCACACCAUCCCUCGCCAUCAUCAGGAUGAAGAAUUGAAAGACAUCAAAGUUGAGAUUAAAAAGGA